ACAAACUUGGUCAUUUAGAGGAAGUAAAAGUCGUAACAAGGUCUCCGUUGGUGAACCAGCGGAGGGAUCAUUACCGAGUUUUCAACUCCCAAACCCCUGUGAACAUACCAUUUUGUUGCCUCGGCGGUGCCUGUUCCGACAGCCCGCCAGAGGACCCCAAACCCAAAUUUCCUUGAGUGAGUCUUCUGAGUAACCGAUUAAAUAAAUCAAAACUUUCAACAACGGAUCUCUUGGUUCUGGCAUCGAUGAAGAACGCAGC
rnacentral:misc_RNA from 1 species